rnacentral:rRNA from 1 species
GGACCCGCACAAGUAGUGGAGCAUGUGGUUUAAUUCGAAGAUACGCGCAGAACCUUACCAACACUUGACAUGUUCGUCGCGACUUUAAGAGAUUAAAGUUUUCGGUUCGGCCGGACGAAACACAGGUGCUGCAUGGCUGUCGUCAGCUCGUGUCGUGAGAUGUUGGUUAAGUCCCGCAACGAGCGCAACCCUCACUUUUAGUUGCCAUCAUUUAGUUGGGCACUCUGAAAGAACUGCCAGUGAUAAGCGGGAGGAAGGUGUGGAUGACGUCAAGUCCUCAUGGCCCUUACGGGUUGGGCUACACACGUGCUACAAUGGUAGUGACAAUGGGUUAAUCCCCAAAAACUAUCUC